UAUUCUGCCCCAUGGGGAAGGAUGAGAAGCUUCGACUAAGGUUCGACUCGAGCGAAGCGAGAGAACGUUGCCGCAGGCAACGGCCCGAAGGGCGA
rnacentral:sRNA from 1 species